UACGUAGGGGGCAAGCGUUGUCCGGAUUUAUUGGGCGUAAAGAGCGUGUAGGCGGCCUGGAAGGUCAGCUGUGAAAACUCGAGGCUCAACCUCGAGACGUCGGUUGAAACCACCUGGCUAGAGUCCGGAAGAGGAGUGUGGAAUUCCCCGGUGUAGCGGUGGAAUGCGCAGAUAUCGGGAGGAACACCAAUUGCGAAGGCAGCUCGCUGGGACGUUACUGACGCUGAGACGCGAAAGCGUGGGGAGCAAACAGG
rnacentral:rRNA from 1 species